GGGUUGUGAGGUUAAGCGACUAAGCGUACACGGUGGAUGCCCUGGCAGUCAGAGGCGAUGAAGGACGUGCUAAUCUGCGAUAAGCGUCGGUAAGGUGAUAUGAACCGUUAUAACCGGCGAUUUCCGAAUGGGGAAACCCAGUGUGUUUCGACACACUAUCAUUAACUGAAUCCAUAGGUUAAUGAGGCGAACCGGGGGAACUGAAACAUCUAAGUACCCCGAGGAAAAGAAAUCAACCGAGAUUCCCCCAGUAGCGGCGAGCGAACGGGGAGCAGCCCAGAGCCUGAAUCAGUGUGUGUGUUAGUGGAAGCGUCUGGAAAGGCGCGCGAUACAGGGUGACAGCCCCGUACACAAAAAUGCACAUACUGUGAGCUCGAUGAGUAGGGCGGGACACGUGGUAUCCUGUCUGAAUAUGGGGGGACCAUCCUCCAAGGCUAAAUACUCCUGACUGACCGAUAGUGAACCAGUACCGUGAGGGAAAGGCGAAAAGAACCCCGGCGAGGGGAGUGAAAAAGAACCUGAAACCGUGUACGUACAAGCAGUGGGAGCCUCUUAAUGGGGUGACUGCGUACCUUUUGUAUAAUGGGUCAGCGACUUAUAUUCUGUAGCAAGGUUAACCGAAUAGGGGAGCCGAAGGGAAACCGAGUCUUAACUGGGCGUUAAGUUGCAGGGUAUAGACCCGAAACCCGGUGAUCUAGCCAUGGGCAGGUUGAAGGUUGGGUAACACUAACUGGAGGACCGAACCGACUAAUGUUGAAAAAUUAGCGGAUGACUUGUGGCUGGGGGUGAAAGGCCAAUCAAACCGGGAGAUAGCUGGUUCUCCCCGAAAGCUAUUUAGGUAGCGCCUCGUGAAUUCAUCUCCGGGGGUAGAGCACUGUUUCGGCAAGGGGGUCAUCCCGACUUACCAACCCGAUGCAAACUGCGAAUACCGGAGAAUGUUAUCACGGGAGACACACGGCGGGUGCUAACGUCCGUCGUGAAGAGGGAAACAACCCAGACCGCCAGCUAAGGUCCCAAAGUCAUGGUUAAGUGGGAAACGAUGUGGGAAGGCCCAGACAGCCAGGAUGUUGGCUUAGAAGCAGCCAUCAUUUAAAGAAAGCGUAAUAGCUCACUGGUCGAGUCGGCCUGCGCGGAAGAUGUAACGGGGCUAAACCAUGCACCGAAGCUGCGGCAGCGACACUAUGUGUUGUUGGGUAGGGGAGCGUUCUGUAAGCCUGCGAAGGUGUACUGUGAGGUAUGCUGGAGGUAUCAGAAGUGCGAAUGCUGACAUAAGUAACGAUAAAGCGGGUGAAAAGCCCGCUCGCCGGAAGACCAAGGGUUCCUGUCCAACGUUAAUCGGGGCAGGGUGAGUCGACCCCUAAGGCGAGGCCGAAAGGCGUAGUCGAUGGGAAACAGGUUAAUAUUCCUGUACUUGGUGUUACUGCGAAGGGGGGACGGAGAAGGCUAUGUUGGCCGGGCGACGGUUGUCCCGGUUUAAGCGUGUAGGCUGGUUUUCCAGGCAAAUCCGGAAAAUCAAGGCUGAGGCGUGAUGACGAGGCACUACGGUGCUGAAGCAACAAAUGCCCUGCUUCCAGGAAAAGCCUCUAAGCAUCAGGUAACAUCAAAUCGUACCCCAAACCGACACAGGUGGUCAGGUAGAGAAUACCAAGGCGCUUGAGAGAACUCGGGUGAAGGAACUAGGCAAAAUGGUGCCGUAACUUCGGGAGAAGGCACGCUGAUAUGUAGGUGAAGUCCCUCGCGGAUGGAGCUGAAAUCAGUCGAAGAUACCAGCUGGCUGCAACUGUUUAUUAAAAACACAGCACUGUGCAAACACGAAAGUGGACGUAUACGGUGUGACGCCUGCCCGGUGCCGGAAGGUUAAUUGAUGGGGUUAGCGGUAACGCGAAGCUCUUGAUCGAAGCCCCGGUAAACGGCGGCCGUAACUAUAACGGUCCUAAGGUAGCGAAAUUCCUUGUCGGGUAAGUUCCGACCUGCACGAAUGGCGUAAUGAUGGCCAGGCUGUCUCCACCCGAGACUCAGUGAAAUUGAACUCGCUGUGAAGAUGCAGUGUACCCGCGGCAAGACGGAAAGACCCCGUGAACCUUUACUAUAGCUUGACACUGAACAUUGAGCCUUGAUGUGUAGGAUAGGUGGGAGGCUUUGAAGUGUGGACGCCAGUCUGCAUGGAGCCGACCUUGAAAUACCACCCUUUAAUGUUUGAUGUUCUAACGUUGGCCCCUUACCGGGGUUGCGGACAGUGUCUGGUGGGUAGUUUGACUGGGGCGGUCUCCUCCUAAAGAGUAACGGAGGAGCACGAAGGUUGGCUAAUCCUGGUCGGACAUCAGGAGGUUAGUGCAAUGGCAUAAGCCAGCUUGACUGCGAGCGUGACGGCGCGAGCAGGUGCGAAAGCAGGUCAUAGUGAUCCGGUGGUUCUGAAUGGAAGGGCCAUCGCUCAACGGAUAAAAGGUACUCCGGGGAUAACAGGCUGAUACCGCCCAAGAGUUCAUAUCGACGGCGGUGUUUGGCACCUCGAUGUCGGCUCAUCACAUCCUGGGGCUGAAGUAGGUCCCAAGGGUAUGGCUGUUCGCCAUUUAAAGUGGUACGCGAGCUGGGUUUAGAACGUCGUGAGACAGUUCGGUCCCUAUCUGCCGUGGGCGCUGGAGAACUGAGGGGGGCUGCUCCUAGUACGAGAGGACCGGAGUGGACGCAUCACUGGUGUUCGGGUUGUCAUGCCAAUGGCACUGCCCGGUAGCUAAAUGCGGAAGAGAUAAGUGCUGAAAGCAUCUAAGCACGAAACUUGCCCCGAGAUGAGUUCUCCCUGACUCCUUGAGAGUCCUGAAGGAACGUUGAAGACGACGACGUUGAUAGGCCGGGUGUGUAAGCGCAGCGAUGCGUUGAGCUAACCGGUACUAAUGAACCGUGAGGCUUAACCUUACAACGCCGAAGGUGUUU
rnacentral:rRNA from 1 species